rnacentral:rRNA from 1 species
UACGUAGGGGGCAAGCGUUGUCCGGAAUCAUUGGGCGUAAAGAGCGUGUAGGCGGCCAGAUAAGUCCGCUGUGAAAACUCGAGGCUUAACCUCGAGAUGUCAUCGGAAACUAUUCGGCUAGAGUCCGGAAGAGGAGAGUGGAAUUCCUGGUGUAGCGGUGAAAUGCGCAGAUAUCAGGAAGAACACCCAUGGCGAAAGCAGCUCUCUGGGACGGUACUGACGCUGAGACGCGAAAGCGUGGGGAGCGAACAGG